UACGAAGGGGGCUAGCGUUGCUCGGAAUCACUGGGCGUAAAGGGUGCGUAGGCGGGUCUUUAAGUCAGGGGUGAAAUCCUGGAGCUCAACUCCAGAACUGCCUUGAUACUGGCGAUCUUGAGUCCGGGAGAGGUGAGUGGAACUGCGAGUGUAGAGGUGAAAUUCGUAGAUAUUCGCAAGAACACCAGUGGCGAAGGCGGCUCACUGGCCCGGUACUGACGCUGAGGUGCGAAAGCGUGGGAGCAACAGG
rnacentral:rRNA from 1 species